AAUCCAUCAAACAGGCCUGUGUUCCAAUUACUUGUGUGGCAGGCAGUGAAAAGAAAUCUGCAAGGUGGAGGAGAAACCGAUUAAUAAACCCCAUCUGGCUGUCGUGUGUUUAGUCGGGCAAACACAGCGAUAUAAUGACUGUCAAGCCGGUUUUUUUUCUUUGCUGAAAUUAAGCGGCUGUCAAGUGCUUAUCGUCUUGAGUACGGUGGUUUCCAUAUGUCGGCGAUAGCCCAAAUCGCAACAAAUAAAUGUGAACUGAUAACACAGGUCACUGAGGGCCGCAGAGGAAAGGAAAAUGGGCCGCAAGGUCACAAAUUUUGUAAAUUUACAAGCUUUACGACACUUUUCACGCAACGCCAAUUAAUUAAGCCGGCCAUAUGGCCCAAGGUCGAAUGAUUAAAAAUGAAAUUACAGCUUAAAUCAUCAGGUGUGUUCCGGUUUUUAAAUUCGCAAAUACAAAAAUGACUUAAAUAAAUAUCUAAUAGUCACAUUAUUUUCUUAUUUUGAUCAAGUUGCCCAGUACAAAAGUUAAGGCAAUUUAAUUAAAUUAAAUUAAUAAUUUAAUAAUUUUUUUAUAUUUCAUAUAGUAUAGUAUGUAGGAAAGUGAUAAACUUGUGAUAAACAUUUAAGAAAGCCAUAAUAAUAAAUGAUUUACUGGGAAUAUAUGAAGUAACCAUAAAACGGUUGUAAAACUAUUGAUUUACGGUCUUUAAUAGGUUACUAGUUAAGUAAUAACCCUAAUUA